UGGAGAUUCCUGUGUACCUGAGGCAUUUUGAAGAGUGCACCAACCCUUGGGUGGACAGCCAGGGUGAAUCAUCUGCGCUGUGUUCAUAUAAGGCAUGUAGAGCCAUUGGUUUGACGUCCUUCCUGCAGGGCACUUGAUCAGGUCUGCUGAGAAUCUAUUUUCCUCUAGAAUGAAGACCUGUAUUUGGAUCCUGUGAUCGCUUACUUCUGUCUCUGGAACUCAGGAGAGAUCUGAUCCAUUGGGUGAUCAUGGGCAAGCCGCAGGUCUUCUGUUUCUCUUCCCAGAAGACAUAUAUGCUGCUUACUAAUCCUGAAAGCUGUUGGGAGCAGAAAUUUGGAGCCAGCUCCUAAAAGGACUGGGAAAUAUACUAACGAAUAUUAAAGAUAUGUAAAACGGACUGGGACCCAGAUACACAUGCAGAGUUACUUGCUGGAUUGGUUAGGAAGAAAUGACUAGUCUAGAAAAGUCCAAAAAACGCUGCUGAUGAGUCAGUCUUUAUUUAAACCAGCUUUGUAUAGCUCACUGGUUGGGUCACCAUCAGAGCUUGCUUCAUGUGCUCACAGCAUUUUUGGGAUGUUCUCAGCUGACUUAGGUAUCCCAUCUGCCUAUAUCUUAGCACUCUGGUUUGCUGGUCUUUACUUAGGACAUAUCUCACAUAAUACUGCUUGAUUCUAAGUACCCUUUUUCUAUAGGGUAUAUCUAUGUCCUUUGCUGUCCUUAAUCCCUCUGUUGUUACUCUCUGUGUUGUGGGGAUCCUGUCAGAUGCUUCUGUGUGUGUGUGAACACAAUUGCAUUAACACUAACAGGUCCAGCACUAGUGUAUGUUCAGUUUUGGUCAUGCCUUGCUGAUGGUUGUCUUGGUCAGGUCUUAUCCUGACCAAAUCAGCCAGGAUCUGGUGACCUUACUGAUGGCUCACACCAUGCUGAGCCCUGGCUAUGAUGACCAACUAGCACUUGACUUGCAGAUCUGGGCCCAUUUAAGACCUGCUACCCACACUUGUGCUACCAGAGGAAGCUGGAGAGAUGAGAACCAAAUGCCUUGUUGCGUGCCUUCAGGAACACCAGUCAGCUGGUGUUCUGGGUCUCUCCAGCAAAAUUCAGAGCAUUUAUUUCCAUCCAUGGCAGCAAGUACUGCAAUGACUCCAAAAAGGGAUAUAGAAAGGGCUGCUGUGGAGGUCAAUGGUUUCACUGACCAGUGCAGACCAGAAACAGAUCCCUGGGCUGAGAGCAGACUUUCUCUUCUGCAGAGUCAAAAGGCACCCAACAAAGCUGGUGUUAAGACUGACAGAAGCUCUCAGUAGUAGGAAAAAGCCCGGCUCCUUCCUUCCUCCCCCUUGCACAUUGGAUUAGUUGGAUUUGCCAGUUCACUUAGCCAAGUGAAAGCCUCAGUCCCUUCCCCCUUCUCCUGCCUCCUGCUGGGAUGAGUGUUAAGGCAAAAUCCCCUGCUUGCACCCCUGGCACCUCCUGCUCCAGCACUCUGUGAAGAGCAGCAGGCAGACAGGCUUGUGCAAUGCCUUGCCAAGGAGGAAUCUGCAAAACUUUUCAGAGCUGCCUCUUAAUUUUCCAGCAGUCACUAUGGGAAGGGAUGUGCUCUCCAGUUUGUUUUGUUUUCUUGGUGUUUGCCUGACUUCCUCAUGCUUAUUCACGCUCCCAAGCAUUUCUCUGGUUUAGCCACAAGGUGCCAUCAGUAGACGCUUAUACAACAGUUUUAUGCCUGCUAGAAGUACAGAAAGGCAGCAAAAUGUCCCUAAUGUUGUAUAAAGGGAAAGGCUAUUAAAUGUAAACUGCAAGCAGAAGGAGAUCCAAAUAUAAAGCAAAACAUGCGGGUGAAAGGUGACUUGAACAGUGUAGACCUUGUAGGUAUAAUGCUGUUGCACUGACAGCCUCCUCAGAUCAGAUUUAUUUAUGAAUAAAUGUAAUACUCAGUGUUCCUAGUGACAAGUGCCCCUGAUGCUGUAUGUCCCAUUGUGUUUGCGGCUAUGAGAGGAUAAAUCAGAAUGCAUGGCCCCUGCCUCCGAGCCCUUCCAGGCAGAUUGGAGGUAGAGAGUACAUGAAGGGGAAAUAAUUAGGAAAAGGGGAGUAAGGAUGAAAGUUAUAAGGAGAGUAAAUUGUCCUGGAGCAUCUUCAUGUUUCUGAAAGAGUAUUUCCUGUUGACCUUUUGCCUUUUGUAUCAGAUGGCUGUUUCACAUAGGCAGUUUUGGAGGGGAGAUCUGACAAAGAAGGUAACAGUGACUUUACUGAGCAACCUUGGAAGGAGUCACGCUUGAGAAGUAGCAAGCAGGAGAGGAGACCCAGUACAAACCAGUAAGGCCAGCAGCAGACAUCGCAGGGACAGGUGUUGUUUACAGAGUGCUGCGAGACCAAAGUAUUUUCAAGUAUGUGAUGCAGCUGCAGGAUGAGCAGGUCCUUUUUAACAGGCUAAACUUUGGAAACCAGGAUUUAAAUCUUGGAAAAGCAGUUCAUACUCCCUGGGAAAGCAGGGCACUACAAAAUGUUCUCAGCAAACACUAUUAUAAUUUGCUGUUGUGUAGCAGCAUGGGUGGAAGGGGCUGAUUCCCACUACCUGGAAGGGAGUGGUCAGGAUGCAGGUAGGUAGCAGUGCAUAUGGGAAAAGAUAGGAGCAUAGCAAUCAUUUUGGAGAAGCUUCAGUGCACAGAAGCAGAACCAGUGCUAGAGUAAUGAAGUGAACAAGGGAGCCUGGGAGGUUAUGGGGCUAUGGCUGAGAGCGAGGCACCUCUGCCUUCUUGGGUUUGAGGCUUUGCUUCCUGAUUGCAUUUCUGACUGCCUCUGAUGCAGCGUACUUUGUUUGCUGACUUUCUUUUUUGGUUCCCUACAAAUUGACCCAUUUGCUUUACUCUGUGUAUUUUUAAUUCUCUGUUGCAGAAUAUCUGCACUUUGGGCCCAUUUGGUAAAUUAACAUCAGUGUUUCAAUAAGACUGCUAUCAGUCCUUAUUUUGCAUUAAGUCUUGCCUACAGGUUUUUUCUUUCUCCCUCCUCCUCUCUAUGACUAAUAGAUAUCAUUUCAACAGUUUGACUAACUGCCGUGUUAUAGAAAAGGCAGUAAUUUAUACUGAUGUAAUGGCUGUGAUAAAAAUCAUUUGUGUGCUGAUUUUAUAAAUUAGGUAGGA